rnacentral:rRNA from 1 species
ACGUAGGGGGCAAGAGUUAUCCGGAAUUAUUGGGCGUAAAGAGUGCGAAGGUGGUUUUUUAAGCGUGAGGAGAAAGGCAAUAGCUUAACUAUUGUAAGCCUUGCGAACUGGAAGACUUGAGUGCAGGAGAGGAAAGUGGAAUUCCUAGUGUAGCGGUGAAAUGCGUAAAUAUUAGGAGGAACACCAAUGGCGAAGGCAACUUUCUGGACUGGAACCGACACUGUGGCACGAAAGCGUGGGUCGCAAACAG